rnacentral:lncRNA from 1 species
GGGUUUGGGAAGGUGAUUAGGUGGUGAUGAAGGUGGUGGAGGGUGAUGAAUGAGGUGGAGGGUGAUUGGUGAGGUGAAAUGAGGUGAAAGGGGUGGUUUGGGUCGGGCUUGGAUGUCAACGACCAAGUGCCGCGGUCAGGGGCUGCACGACCGCGGCAAUCAAGCACUUGGCCGCGGUCAGGACUACGCGACCGCGGCCGACGGUAGGUUUCCCGCGGUCAGAACGUCUGCGACCGCGGGGGCUUAUAUCGCGGCCUCUUCCUGCUUCUCCUUGGUUCCUGCUGGGCCGAGCAGUCAGGUACCAUCCUUCUUUUUGGUUUUUUCGGGUUUUUUGAUUUUUUUUUG